UACGUAGGGGGCAAGCGUUGUCCGGAAUCAUUGGGCGUAAAGCGCGCGUAGGCGGCCAGAUAAGUCCGGUGUGAAAGUCACAGGCUCAACCUGUGAAUGCCGCUGGAAACUGUCUGGCUUGAGUCCGGAAGGGGCGAGUGGAAUUCCUGGUGUAGCGGUGAAAUGCGCAGAUAUCAGGAGGAACAUCUGCGGCGAAGGCGGCUUCCUGGCCCAUUACUGACGUUCAGGUACGAAAGCGUGGGUAGCAAACAGG
rnacentral:rRNA from 1 species